GGCACGCGCCACGUGCAAGUGUGAGGGCAAUUUCAUUUCAAAAAGUGCCAUUUUAAACGGAUUUUGGAAUUUAUAUUAAUUUCAGGUGACGUCAGACGGAAUGAGUUGAAACAGCGCCAUUAGCAUAAAAAUGUACCGCCUCAUGGAAAAAUUGUGAAAGCUAAUUGAUCAAAAACAAUGUGGAAAAAAUCGCUGAAUUAAAUGGUAUUUGUCCAUAAUGUGCCACUAAAAAGAUACACGGAUUUGCUGCUUAACCUGAUACGUUUGACAAUUGAAAUUGCUAUCAUUGGAAAGAGCAUUCAAUUCUCUCCAAGAUCCAAUCAUCACGUUUGCAUGACACACAGUAUUCUUAAAAAUAAAUGUUUUAAACCUCUGCAAAACGAUUUUUAGCGAAAUUAUCUACGCCUUUCAUUUGUCUUAAAAACUACGCACCUCAAUUAUAAAGCACAUUUGACAGGUUCACUGAACUAUUGACAGGUUCUGAAGUAGAAAGCAUGCUCAUCAGACACAGGCACCUCGAUCCGAUGGAUAUCUUUUUUCCAAACCAAAACGUUUAGCCAUCAAAAAACAAUCGACCGAAAUGGAUAGAUAACCCAACCGACACAAGAACAACCAAACACCCGCCGAUCGUAAAUACCCCCUUUUCGCGUUGCGGAGCACGCGGGUCACCCUAGUGUACUACUAAAUAUGCAGAUAUUCACAUAGUAGGUAUCUGUGUGUAAAUCAUUACUCAUCAGUGCUCGUAUCUGCAGCGCACGAAAAUGGAGAAUAAACAUUUCGUCAUUUUGUUGAAUCAUACGAUGGGGUGGAAAAUACAUGUUAACGGGUGGACACCAUGCUGACUAUCUUAAGUUGUGUUUCGCUUAAAUGUUUUUUUUUUAGUUUCUUAUGCAUAGAUGAAUAGAUAAUAGACAUGCAAUCAUAAUAUUGAGUUGCCCCGAGGCCAAACUGCCCAACAUUUCGAAUAUCAAGCGGAAGGAGCCAGAGUCCACAAUCCACAUCAACUGUUUUGUCUGAAAGCAAAGUUAGGUCAUCUUCUGCUUCCUUUCAAAUGAAGGCCACAACCUUUAUCGAUUUGAUAAUAUACGAUAGCAGCAUAAACUACCGUGAUAGGCUCUGCUUUCAAAACUCAUGUAUUUCUGAGUGACACAUCAAUGUAAUCCAUGAUUCCAGGGAGGAAAUCUCUCCGAAUUGGAGACACUGGUAAAUAUACGCAAGUUACAUUUUCAGUGUUCGACAAUAUAGCCAUGACGAGAAUAGCGUCAUCGGAGAGCAACGUUGCAGCACUCCACACUGGCCGCAACGUGCUAGGAAGGACAUCAACCGUGCAAACAAUCCAUCAGAAAAAAGGAACCCUCGCAACCACCCGAGAGUGCAACCUUCGUAAAGGGCCAACUGGAUGGGACUUUCAUCUUGAGGUGCUCGAAACAUCAACGGUUGACUACAUUGAACGAUUUGAGCUUAGUAAGAAAGAUGCAAUGAAGAAGAGGACUUACGAACGAAUUUCCAUUUUUCUGUGAGUCUUUCACAGAAAAAUGUGGGUCGUACUGCAUUCGAGACCCCUCCCCCUAAAUCCCAAACAUCCAAGUCUACCAAUUUGGCAUCUUUAUUUCGGCGCGAAUCAAUCAAACCCUUUGAGAAUGGGUUAACGGCCGGACCAACAAUGUUUAAUAAACACCUGCAAUUACACGACAACGACAACGACAUACAGCACUUGAUAGGGAUAAAUAUGAUACCGUGUUAUAAACAAAUUGUUGAGUUGAAAUAAAUGAAAUAUUAUUA